GCCCAACACAUAGCCGUACGGUUUAUUGGCGUCUCGCUCCGUCUCCGCACUGUCCUGUUGCGCCGGCCACCACAGUGCAGAAGAACACACAGCAUCCGCCUGCCUCGCCGCCGCAAUGGCCGCCGUGGCGAGAUCCUUUCUCCGGUCCAGCGGCUCAUCGUCCCUCCGCAGCGCGGCGGCCAGAGCCGCCUCGCGGGCCGGACCGGUUCCGCUGCCGAGGCGGAUACCCAGUUCUGGGCCCCGGGUACUCCUAAGCGUGUGCCUGGAGUCCCUGAUGCCCAUGCACAGCGCCACGGCUUCGGCGCUCAUGACGUCGCUACUCGCUGCCCCGGCUUGCAAGGGAUUGGGUUGGCUAUCAGAAGCUGGUAAUGAUGACUUGUGACACUCUCUAGAUGGAAUGUAGCAGAUUAUUAUCCUGUCACCUCAGAUCUACAGGCCUGUGGUUAGUGCGAUGGAGGUCAUCUUUGAUGAGGACUAGACCGCGUGCUAUUUGUUUUGCCCUCUGUUGCCUUGAUUUUGCUCAUUAUAAAUGAAACAGAGUAAAUGUAGCUUUCAUCGUUGUAACUUUUAUGAUGUUAGUUUAGAGCUUGAGCUGAUGAACUCAGAUUAUUGUGUUUCUAUUUGUAGAUGGAUGAUUUGUCAUUAUUGGAGACCUGCAGUGAUGGUAUCUGGUCUGGAUUAUGCAAUACCUCGUGAAUUUAUAGUACUUGGUUGGCGUCUCAGUUAACAUGUUUUGUGCUCUGGGAUUCCAGUUUGUAUGAAAUUUACAUAAUUCUUCCUGAGAUUUAUUUUGGCCCACUAGCUGUCAAAAAGACUUUGGUCUUGACGACCAGGCUGAUCAUGUACAUCUGGAAUGAAUAAGCUUGAUUAAAGGCUUUUCACAUUUCACA